rnacentral:rRNA from 1 species
GACGAACGCUGGCGGCGUGCUUAACACAUGCAAGUUGAACGAGAAUUUUUCGAGUGAUUUCUUCGGAAUGAUCAUGAAGACGGAAAGUAGCGAACGGGUUAGUAACACGUGAGAAACCUGCCUUUCACAAAGGGAUAGCCUCGGGAAACCGGGAUUAAUACCUUAUGAAACCAAACACUCGCAUGAGAGAUUGGUUAAAGCUUUAUCGGUGUUAGAUGGUCUCGAGUCUGAUUAGCUAGUUGGUGGGAUAAAAGCAUACCAAGGCAACGACGAGUAGCCGGAUUGAGAGGCAGAGCCGACACACCGGAGCUGAGACACAGUCCAGAAUCCUACGCGAGGCAGCAGUGCGGAACUUUGCACAAUGGAGUGAGCUCUGAUGCAGCGACGCCGCGUGAGUGAUGAAGGUCGUCGGAUUGUAAAGCUCUGUCCUUAGUGAAGAUAAUGACAGUACCUAAGAAGAAAGCCCCGGCUAACUACGUG